AGUGGGAUAACUGGGUCAAAUGGUUGUUCCAUUCCUCGUUUUUUGAGGAAUCUCCAUAAUGUUUUCCAUAAUGAUUGCGCUGAUUUGCAGUCCCACCAGCAAU
rnacentral:pre_miRNA from 1 species